rnacentral:lncRNA from 1 species
UCAUGAAUAUGUUGGUGGUUAUCGUGUGUUGAUUGUUUGUUUCCGGGUUAUUUUUUCUCGAUAGAGUAUUGAAACCGCUUCGGAGUGUGAGGAUUCAUUCCAAUACGUUGGUUCAUCUACUUGACGGAUUCGUUCUUCUUCCAAGCGGGAUCUCACACAUGAUGAUCAUUUCCCUAGAUACCACUACUAUCAUUGCUAUGCUAGUUGUCUCGUUUCUAUUGCUAUGUCUCGCUAUCUACCACCUAUUAUCUCAAGCCUCCCAACAUUGACAUGAAAAGACUCUAACCCUUCCACAUCCCAGCAAACCUUUGUUCGUCUAUGUUACUGUUCGCUCAGCCUUCUUAUAGUGUUGCUAGUUGCAGGUGCAAGUUGCUCCCAUGUGACAACAUGGUUUCCUUGUUAUAUCACCAUAUUAUUGCUAUUUAAUUUAAUGCACACACACACACACAC